rnacentral:rRNA from 1 species
GAUAAACGCUGGCGGCGUGCCUAAUACAUGCAAGUCGAUCGAUGGAUGCCCAGCUUGCUGGGAGGAAAUAGAGGCGAACGGGUGAGUAAUACGUAAGCAACCUGCCCACGAAGACCGGGAUAAUCCCUGGAAACGGGGACUAAGACCGGAUAGGUAACAGAACCGCAUGAUUCUGUUAUUAAGGUUAAAAACACUGGUGGAUGGGCUUACGGUGCAUUAGCUGGUUGGUGAGGUAACGGCCCACCAAGGCGAUGAUGCAUAGCUGGUCUGAGAGGAUGAACAGCCACAUUGGGACUGAGACACGGCCCAGACUCCUACGGGAGGCAGCAGUAGGGAAUUUUCGGCAAUGGGGGAAACCCUGACCGAGCAACGCCGCGUGAGUGAAGAAGGUCUUCGGAUUGUAAAGCUCUGUUGUAAGGGAAGAAAUGUACUGUGAGAAACAGUACUUGACGGUACCUUACCAGAAAGCUACGGCUAACUACGUG